AACACAUUUCAUUCGCGCCUGUAUCUUGCUGAACCGCUGCCAUUAUGGCCAACGAUCCGGUUGAGCAAAAUUUCAGGUGUGUGAGAAAUGUGUUUAGCA
rnacentral:pre_miRNA from 1 species